AGUGUCACAUUUCUGAGCAGCUGUGUGGGUACAAGCGGUGGGGGACUGACAGUAUAAAGGAGAAACCUGCCUUGCCCCUGUCCUGGUGGCCAUAACUGGAGAGCAACACCAGCUUCCCUGGAGAAGGCCUAGCAUUUUUACUCUAUAUGCCGAGGUAUUUCUUCCAGUCGGAUUUAGCACAGAGGAUUUUAAGCAGGUAAGCAACCUGACCAGUGGGGCUUUAGAAACACCUGCUCUGUGGAGGGUGGGUCAGCAGGGGUGACAGUG
rnacentral:lncRNA from 1 species